rnacentral:lncRNA from 1 species
UUAAAUAGUCAUCUUUACUUGCUAUAUGCCUUUGGUUGUUACUGGUAUGAAAUCCCUUUGUCUCUUGAGUUGGUCUGCUAUCAUGUUAAUAUUAGCCUCCUGAUUCUAAAAUCCUAGUUUGAUGAUCCUUCAGUAAUGAGAUUUUUUAUGGUUUGUUGUUCUUCAUUUCCUGAUCUUCAUUUGUUUUAUUUCCUGAUACUCUGAUUAGUUUAGUAGGGGUUUAUCUUCUGGUUCAUGUUUAUGCUACUGAGUAUUUGUUUUCAUCUCAUAGUAACUUUGAUCUUCAGUACUUGCACGUAUUGGGCUAUCCUAUUCUUGCUGAACCUUUAGUUGCUAAUAUUAGCCUUUACUUUCCUUAUUUGAUUCAUGAACUAAGUGUUCAAUUCCUGCGUGUUUCUCAUUAUCAAGUUUUUCAGAGUUUUUUAAUUGGAAUAUUUUUGUGAGUUAAGUGUUAAUGGAUGGUUUCCCUCUUCUGGUCAUUUUGAUUCAUUGUUUUUGACAUUGAAUGGUCAUCCAGAAUAAUGUUUGGUUGCUAAAAAUUCACAUUAAGAUACUAGUCAAAAACCUGAAUAAUACCGGCCAAUUCUUAAACUUCUAAUAAGCCUGUUAAUCCAGACCAGACCUUAGCCCAUAAAUCAAGUACAAUUGACCAGGGUUAAUGAAUAACUAAGGUUAAAACUUCAGGUUAGUUAAUUAGGAAAAAAAAUAGGGUUAUAAUGGGGAUUUGAGCCUUAAAAGAAUUUGGUAAUAACCCUUAGAACAUUCUAGUAAGGGACUUAGGCACAAUUUCAGCCUCAAACUUGAGGCACAAGUCAGGAAA